CAACAGAACCCGGGGCCAAGUUGUCCUCGAUCAUAUGCUAUUAAAUAAACCAAAUAUAAAUCUGAUAAACGAUUUUGAUUCAGAGAUGUUUAAGGAGAUGUUGGUGAAUGCUGUGUGUACAAUACAGGAGAUUAAAUAUGAUAGUGUGAUAGAGUGAUUAUACGAAAAGGCGGAACGGAAAUCGGAGAGAAAAGGACAUCUAGUUGGGAGAAGACUAGAAGAUUUAUUUUCAAGAUUACAUUCUCAAACAAAUAAUGGAUUUAAUGGCUUUUGUGCCCUAUUCUAUGACAGCACCAACUGUCCAGGUAUGUAACCAUCACUUAGGAUACACCAAGAAGACAAAAUUACUUCCUGUUUUUAUACUUAUUUAAUAAUAUUUAAUUGUAUGGGCACAUAAUUUGGUAGAAAGUUCAUUAAAUAUAGAAAAGUGUGUAUGUGUAUUUUUAUUUUACGAUACAUAUAAAAUAUUUGAAAAAGCGUGUAAAUUUUUAAAAUAUAUUUUUAGAACAUGUUAGACAUUGUGUUAUUUAAAAAUCCAUUAUAUAAUAAUAAAAUUAUAAUAAUUACAA